AGACCCGAAACCCGGUGAUCUAGCCAUGGGCAGGUUGAAGGUUGGGUAACACUAACUGGAGGACCGAACCGACUAAUGUUGAAAAAUUAGCGGAUGACCUGUGGCUGGGGGUGAAAGGCCAAUCAAACCGGGAGAUAGCUGGUUCUCCCCGAAAGCUAUUUAGGUAGCGCCUCGUGAAUUCAUCUCCGGGGGUAGAGCACUGUUUCGGCUAGGGGGCCAUCCCGGCUUACCAACCCGAUGCAAACUGCGAAUACCGGAGAAUGUUAUCACGGGAGACACACGGCGGGUGCUAACGUCCGUCGUGAAGAGGGAAACAACCCAGACCGCCAGCUAAGGUCCCAAAGUCAUGGUUAAGUGGGAAACGAUGUGGGAAGGCCCAGACAGCCAGGAUGUUGGCUUAGAAGCAGCCAUCAUUUAAAGAAAGCGUAAUAGCUCACUGGUCGAGUCGGCCUGCGCGGAAGAUGUAACGGGGCUAAACCAUGCACCGAAGCUGCGGCAGCGAACGUAUCACCCAAGACAACUUUACGGAGUUGACGAUUGACGGAGCGAAGCGACGUCAAAGCGUUCAUUAAAGUCGAGUUGGCUUAGGGAUACGUUCGUUGGGUAGGGGAGCGUUCUGUAAGCCUGUGAAGGUGUGUCGUGAGGCAUGCUGGAGGUAUCAGAAGUGCGAAUGCUGACAUAAGUAACGAUAAAGCGGGUGAAAAGCCCGCUCGCCGGAAGACCAAGGGUUCCUGUCCAACGUUAAUCGGGGCAGGGUGAGUCGACCCCUAAGGCGAGGCCGAAAGGCGUAGUCGAUGGGAAACGGGUUAAUAUUCCCGUACUUGGUGUUACUGCGAAGGGGGGACGGAGAAGGCUAUGUUGGCCGGGCGACGGUUGUCCCGGUUUAAGCGUGUAGGUGUGUGUUCCAGGUAAAUCCGGUUCACUUUAACACUGAGGCGUGACGACGAGGCACUACGGUGCUGAAGCAACAAAUGCCCUGCUUCCAGGAAAAGCCUCUAAGCAUCAGGUAACACGAAAUCGUACCCCAAACCGACACAGGUGGUCAGGUAGAGAAUACCAAGGCGCUUGAGAGAACUCGGGUGAAGGAACUAGGCAAAAUGGUGCCGUAACUUCGGGAGAAGGCACGCUGACACGUAGGUGAAGUGAUUUACUCAUGGAGCUGAAGUCAGUCGAAGAUACCAGCUGGCUGCAACUGUUUAUUAAAAACACAGCACUGUGCAAACACGAAAGUGGACGUAUACGGUGUGACGCCUGCCCGGUGCCGGAAGGUUAAUUGAUGGGGUCAGCGUAAGCGAAGCUCCUGAUCGAAGCCCCGGUAAACGGCGGCCGUAACUAUAACGGUCCUAAGGUAGCGAAAUUCCUUGUCGGGUAAGUUCCGACCUGCACGAAUGGCGUAAUGAUGGCCAGGCUGUCUCCACCCGAGACUCAGUGAAAUUGAACUCGCUGUGAAGAUGCAGUGUACCCGCGGCAAGACGGAAAGACCCCGUGAACCUUUACUAUAGCUUGACACUGAACAUUGAGCCUUGAUGUGUAGGAUAGGUGGGAGGCUUUGAAGUGUGGACGCCAGUCUGCAUGGAGCCGACCUUGAAAUACCACCCUUUAAUGUUUGAUGUUCUAACGUGGACCCGUAAUCCGGGUUGCGGACAGUGUCUGGUGGGUAGUUUGACUGGGGCGGUCUCCUCCUAAAGAGUAACGGAGGAGCACGAAGGUUGGCUAAUCCUGGUCGGACAUCAGGAGGUUAGUGCAAUGGCAUAAGCCAGCUUGACUGCGAGCGUGACGGCGCGAGCA
rnacentral:rRNA from 1 species